rnacentral:rRNA from 1 species
AUUAUUGGGCGUAAGAGCUCGUAGGCGGUUUGUCGCGUCUGCUGUGAAAUCCNGGAGGCUCAACCCCCGGCCUGCAGUGGGUACGGGCAGACUAGAGUGCGGUAGGGGAGAUUGGAAUUCCUGGUGUAGCGGUGGAAUGCGCAGAUAUCAGGAGGAACACCGAUGGCGAAGGCAGAUCUCUGGGCCGUAACUGACGCUGAGGAGCGAAAGGGUGGGGAGCAAACAGGCUUAGAUACCCUGGUAGUCCACCCCGUAAACGUUGGGAACUAGUUGUGGGGUCCAUUCCACGGAUUCCGUGACGCAGCUAACGCAUUAAGUUCCCCGCCUGGGGAGUACGGCCGCAAGGCUAAAACUCAAAGGAAUUGACGGGGACCCGCACAAGCGGCGGAGCAUGCGGAUUAAUUCGAUGCAACGCGAAGAACCUUACCAAGGCUUGACAUACACGAGAACGCUGCAGAAAUGUAGAACUCUUUGGACACUCGUGAACAGGUGGUGCAUGGUUGUCGUCAGCUCGUGUCGUGAGAUGUUGGGUUAAGUCCCGCAACGAGCGCAACCCUCGUUCUAUGUUGCCAGCACGUAAUGGUGGGAACUCAUGGGAUACUGCCGGGGUCAACUCGGAGGGAAGGGUGGGGGAUGACGUCAAAUCAUCAUGCCCCCUUAUGUCUUGGGGCUUCCACGCAUGCUACCAAUGGGCCGGUACAAAGGGCUGCAAUACCGGCGAGGGUGGGAGCGAAUCCCAAAAAGCCGGUCCCAGUUCGGAUUGAGGUUCUGCAACUCGACCUCAUGAAGUCGGAGUCGCUAGUAAUCGCAGAUCAGCAACGCUGCGGUGAAUACGUUCCCGGGUCUUGUACACACCGCCCGUCAAGUCAUGAAAGUCGGUAACACCUGAAGCCGGUGGCCCAACCCUUGUGGAGGGAGCCGUCGAAGUGGGAUCGGUA